UACAGAGGGGGCAAGCGUUGUUCGGAAUUACUGGGCGUAAAGGGCGCGUAGGCGGCCUGCUAAGUCGGAUGUGAAAUCCCUCGGCUCAACCGAGGAACUGCAUCCGAUACUGGCGGGCUUGAAUCCGGGAGAGGGAUGUGGAAUUCCAGGUGUAGCGGUGAAAUGCGUAGAGAUCAGGAAGAACACCAGUGGCGAAGGCGCUCUGCUAGGCCGUAACUGACACUGAGGGACGAAAGCUAGGGGAGCG
rnacentral:rRNA from 1 species